CCCUUAGAUGUUCUGGGCUGCACACGUGCUACACUGGCAGGUUCAGCGAGCUUCAUGCCCUGGUCUGAAAGGAAUGGGAAAUCUUUUCAAAACCUGCCGUGCUUGGGAUAGAUGUUUGCAAUUAUUCAUCUUCAACGAGGAUUGCCUUGUAAGCGCACGUCAUCAGCGUGCAUUGAAUACGACCCUGUAUUCUGUACACACCGCCCGUCGCUCCUACCGAUUGAAGUUUUCGGUGAGUUGACAGGAGGAUUUUUUUGAAACUGGUUCGCCAGUGGAUUUUAGAUCCAAAUGCCAACGAAUCGAUGGCUUUAGAGGAAGGAGAAGUCGUAACA
rnacentral:rRNA from 1 species